AAUUUGCGAAGUGAGGACACUAUCACAAGAUCCAAAUCAAUGUCCUUCCGGGAGAAUUUCUUAAAAUCUUGUUUUCUCUCGUUGUCUUCGGAAGAAGCCCGACAUUUCUUAUAGGAAAUGGAACUCUUCAUAAGCCAAAAACAAUCCAUUGAUACACUUGGUGACAUUAAUUGAGAAAAAAACAAUAUGGUCUGGCCAUGGAGGCAUGGUAUCCGUAACAUCCCCCAAAGGAGCUAAAGAAGAAAUCCACAAUUUACCAUGAGCAUUUCUCGUCUGAAGAUUGCCAAGCGAUUCCUCCAGGACAUUCCUCAAGAUCAAUUUCUGUUCAUCCACCUUGUCCUGGGAGGGACAUCAAUGGGUUUCCAUGUCCUUUGGCUUCUGGUUGAGUUCACUCAGUGGAGAACCCUGGCAAGAGGCAGGAAAAGGGGAGGAAGGCUUUAUGAUACAUGUGUUGAAUGUGCAGGUUCGUUACAUAGGUAAAUGUGUGGCAUGGUGGUUUGCUGCACCUAUCAACCCAUCACCUAGGUAUUAAGCCCUGCAUGCAUUAGCUAUUAGUCCUGAUGCUCUCCCUCCCCCGCACCCCCUAGCAGGUCCCUGGUGUAUGUUGUUCCACUCCCUGUGUUCAUGUAUUCUCAUUGUUCAACUCCCACUUAUGAGUGAGAACAUGCAGUGUUUGAUUUUCUGUUCCUGUGUCAGUUUACUGAGGAUACUGGCUUCCAGCGUCAUCCACGUCUCAGUAUAGGACAUCAUCUCAUUCCUUUUUAUGGCUGCAUAGUAUUCCAUGGUGUAUAUGUAUCACAUUUUUCUUUAUCCAGUCUACCAUUGUGGGCAUUUGGGUUCAUUCCAAGUCUUUAAUAAGGGUUUGGUCUUACC
rnacentral:lncRNA from 1 species